rnacentral:lncRNA from 1 species
CCCAGCAACGCCAACCUAAAGAAGGAAAGGCCAGUUUUCAUUUCCUUCAUAGCUCGAAGGUCACGGAGAUCAUAACGUAAUACGUAUCAUGCGACGACGGAGAGGUUGGGUGAGAAAGGUACGUGUUUCAUCAUUAUCAAACAGGAGAGAGAAAAGGCCAGAGACAUCAGUCGAGUGAGGAUCUCCGACACGGAAACAUCUGCUGCGCACUAUCUGUCACUUUCUGCCUUCUUCACCGUAUUGCCAGUUCGCAUCCAUGGUUAAUGGGUGUUGUAUCGUUGUUUGGUGGGUCGACCACUGGUGUAUCGAUGUCUUCUUGGUAUGGCGGCUACCAAACCGCAACGCCACCACCUUCCCAAAAGCAACUCACGCAACGACCAGUUAUUGCACCAAGGUCUACAAGUACUACACUACUAAGGCACCGGAGUUUUAUACCACAAAUUUCCGCUGCCCCGAGCCACUACACUGACGUCCUGAAGUAUUACUCUGCCCCGAGUUACUACACCACCAAGGCGACGGAGUAUGACAAGGCAUGCUGCCCCAUCCUACUACAUCGAGGCUCCUAACUGCUACACCGAGGCUCCCGCUGAUUAAUUACUCCACCGAAGCGGCAAAGUACUACUCAGCCCCGACGUACUACACAGAAACUGAUGUUUCGUGCUACGUUGAACAGAAAUACUACACUGAUGCUCCAGUUCGCUACACCACGGCCUACGCUACACAGCAGCCCCCAAGUACUGCACCGAAGGAGCCGUCUAUUACACAACAACGUAUGCUGCCUAGUUUACUACACCGAGGCUCCCAAGUACUACAUCACUAAGGCACCGGAUUUCUACACGUUUAUGUAUGCUGCCCCUGCCUACUACACCGAGGCCCCGCAUUACUACAAUAAUGAAUCGCUCAAUUACUACACUACAACCUACGCUGCCCCGAGCUACUACACCUACGUCCCGAAGUAUUACUGUGCGUAAAAGGAGUCGUCUAAAAAAAAGUCUUGCCCGAAUUGCAGUGCCCUAGCUGUCACCAACUGCAUUCCUCAUCGUGUAACCGAUUCGCAAUUCUGGUCAACUAUGGCGUCGUGCUCCUGUUGGGUGUUGUAUCGUUGAUGGCUGGAUCGAACGCAGGUGUAGUGAUGUCUUUUUGAUAUGGCGGAUAUCAAACCGCAACUCCGCCGCCUUACUACACAACUUACGUAACGACGAAUUCCUGCACCGACGUCUUCAAGUACUACAUCACUAAAGCACCGGAGUUUUAUACCACAACUUAUGCUGCCCCGAGCCACUACACUAACGUCCUGAAGUAUUACUCUGCCCCGAGUUACUACACCACCAAGGCGACGGAGUAUGACUUUGCAUGCUGCCCCAUCCUACUACACCGAGCCUCCCAAGUAUUACUUAGUUCUCGGCUACUUACUGCACCGACACUCCUAACUACUUUUGUUCCCAGCAGCUACACCGAGGCUCCUGCUGAUAACUACACCAAAACGGUCGAAUACUACACCGAAGCGGCAAAGUACUUCUCUGCCCCGAGCUACUCAACCAGAACUGAG